CUAAGCAUUUUAACUAAUUUAAUCCUGAAAAAAAUCCUCUAUAGUUAUUACUAUUUUUAUGCCUAUUUUACAGAUAAGGAAGCUGAAGCUUUGAGAAUUUAAUUUGCUCAAGGGGAGGCCAGGACAAGAAAUAAUGAAGAGUCCGAUGUGGCAGGAAUGUAGGAAACAAGUCAAUGAUGGAAGAUAAAUAUGGAGACGUGAUGAAGGCAAAAUUCUGAAGGGUCUUAGAGCCCAUUAUAAGACAUUUGGUUUUUAUGACUAUGCUGUGCAAGACUUGGUAAACUGGUCCCUACUGCAGAGGAUUUUAUACAGAGCACGCUAGUGGCUCACAGGUAGUGUCUUAUUGAAUGUUGAAUUUCCACACUUUUGACUGCAUGAAUCAGUAAAUACUUGGGUUUAUUUUGCCACAUAGAGGUCUACAUUGGUUUAAUACAAGUAAAUAGCAAUAAUGAUAACAGUCACUGCCAUUAAUGGAGUGUCUCCUUGAUACCAGACACUGUCUCAGAUGACUUGAAUUAACUCUUUAAACCCACAUGGCCCUGGUCCUGAAAGGUGGUAUUAUUCAUUUUUAUAGAUGAGGAAACUGAGACACAGGCACCACUACUUCAACCUUGGCCCCAAACCAUUUUUAUCUGCCCUGAAUAAUUUGCUAGUUCUCCUCUUUCAGUAUGCCAGUCUUCUCUAUCCAUUGGUCUAUAGUUGGUUGCAAUUCAUCUUUGUCACCUGUUCCUGACACUGACCAAUUACUGACCAUAUCUCCCUAUUCUCUGCCAUGUGAUAACCUUUGAUUCUCCCAAAUAAACUCUUUCCUUAUCUCUACCCUAUUGAAACCAACCACCCCUCUCUCCACACAGAAUAUUUCACUGAUUGCCUUGCCCGCCUCUCAAAGGCCCACGUCUCUGUGGAAUGAUGCAGUUGCUAAGAAGAGCUGUUAAUGUCAUGACCUCAAUGAAUAAAAAAGACUUCCUUUUCUCCAUGCCCACUCAAGUAAAAAGCUUCUCUCUGAACUCCUGCUAAUUUUUCAUCAGCAAAGGUGCACAGCCUUUUGGAAGCGAAAUGAUUACUAGUGAAGAAAAAGAAAGAACCUAACACUUAUUUUACAAGCCUCCCAGUGACCACUCUUCAGACAAAGCUUCUUAUAAUAGCUUCCUUCCCUGAAUCUUUUGCGAAACAUCAAAUCACAAAGAGAUCUUAUUGUGAGUAUUACUUAAAAUUUUUUCCUGUCUUAUGUA